UGGGAGGCCGAGACGGGUGGAUCACGAGGUCAGGAGAUCNGUCUCGAUCUCCUGACCUCGUGAUCCGCCCGUCUCGGCCUCCCA
rnacentral:pre_miRNA from 1 species